rnacentral:sRNA from 1 species
AUAAAAUAGAAAAUAUAUCAAUUAUCUUCAUGUAUGUUUGUGUUUCCUUUGUGUGUCAUUUAUUGAUUAAUUUGUGAUUUCUCAGACAAUGUACAUUUCGAUGAAUUAAAGCAUAAUAUAUAAAGCACAAUCUUUCCUUUAAUGAGAACCUCCUGUGAUAAUCAUUGCUAUGAUCUAUUAAGGUUUUAUAUACAUUGUAUGUUGUAUGUUUUGUUGAAAUAUGGUGCCAUCUUGAAAAUUCUAUUUCAUUUUUUUUUUCAUCCAUUAAUUCAAUUUUGUAAUCUAUGAAAGUGAAAAGCAGAUGACUUUUUUUCUUAUCAUAUUUAUUAUAUACAGAGAAUUUGUGCUGUUUGUGGAAUAAAUGUUGUAAUGUUUCCAGCAUGUGGUUCAACUGGAGUAAGAUUUAUACAGAUCUUAAAGCUGUCCCAUAAAAAUUCAUUUAUUUCCAUAUAGAUUUGAUACAGAAUUUUAAAUGAUUUUCUCAAAUGCUAUGUUAUAAUCCCUUUUACCUGUAGAUUGUUUACUGAUAUAUAUAUCUAUAAAUAAAGUGUUAUGUAU